rfam:Triticum aestivum genome assembly, contig: Triticum_aestivum_CS42_TGACv1_scaffold_046708_1BL
UUUCUACUCCCUCCAUCCCAAAAUUCUUGUCUUAAAUUUGUCUAAAUACGGAUGUAUCUAGUUACAUUUUAGUGUUAGAUAGAUCUGUAUCUAAACAAAUGUAAGACAAGAAUUUUGCAACGGAGGGAAUACUAC